CAGUCGCCGCGGUAAUACGAAGGUCCCGAGCGUUGUUCGGAAUCACUGGGCGUAAAGGGAGCGUAGGCGGCGUGGUAAGUCAGAUGUGAAAUCCCGGGGCUCAACCCCGGAACUGCAUCCGAUACUGCCAUGCUAGAGGAUUGGAGAGGUAGCUGGAAUUCUUGGUGUAGCGGUGAAAUGCGUAGAGAUCGGGAGGAACAUCAGUGGCGAAGGCGGCCAUCUGGGACAGCGCUGACGCUGAGGCACGAAAGCGUGGGGAGCAAACAGGAUUAGAUACCCGUGUAGUCCCUGUCUCUUAUAA
rnacentral:rRNA from 1 species